rnacentral:lncRNA from 12 species
CUUUUGGUUUGCUUGUUUUUUAGUUUCUGAAUGCUUGCUGGGUAUUGCCCAAGGCUCUGAGCAGAGAUGAGAGAAGAGAAAGAAGGGAAUGCAGAAGUGGGGUGUGAAGAUGAGGAAGAUAUUGGUUGGACAAACUCUUAGAAGGCUCCAACCUUCAGCUGCCAAAGACAUGAGGGGCAGAAUCAGUGCAGAAAUCACACAGCAGUGCUGGAAUCAUCAUGGGAGACCAGCUGAAGUUCCUCUGUGAAAUAUUCCAUCCUGCCUUUUGUCCCUUCUCCUGUGGUAGCCAAUGGGACUGAUCUCUCAAGGAAGAUGUUGAACUCGACCUCGUGAAGCCUUCAGUGCUGGGAGGGUGUUUUGGGCUGAAAUCCCUGCUCAGCACUCACCCCUUACACCUGGGAGCCCUGGGGGCUCCCCACUCUGAUCUCAGCAGGUCACACCUGCAGCCAGGCUCGGUUUUAAGGCUGCCCAGCUCACCUGACCAGCGCGGCAAGCCUGGCACACGGCUGGUGAGUGUUUGAGCAAUACCAGGAGAUUUCAAUGCUUCCAGCAACCUCAGCUGCCUCCUCCUCUCCUGCCUCGUAAUCUACGUCUAGGAUGGGAAUUGAAUCCAAAGAAAUGCAAUCCUCGACCUUGAAAAACAAAGCAAGGCUUGGCAAAGUCUACCGAUAAAUAUGCAGCAGCCCUAAUCAGGAAUCCUUUGUCAGAAAGGGGAUAAUUGUGGCUAGCAACAUGUUAGUGUAGUGCUGGAUCUUCAGGCUUCCAACAGCUUAUAAAACCAGGAUCUGUUUUUGGGGGGAAAAGCUGAGUGAACAAAGACAUGCUCAAGCAAUGAGUCACUGGAGAGUUGAGCUCCUGCUGGACAGUGUUAGAGUUGCAUAAACCAAACCCAGUCCCACGACAGUCAGAGAAGAGCCUGGGGUGGAGUCAGGAAUUAGAGAGGGUGGUCUCAGGGGAGUGGUGUUGACACAGGGAAGUUGGGAGGAUGGAGCAUUAACAGCUCUGCUCUGCGCUCUUUAAACAGUGCCCUUGCCGUGGCAUCUGGGCAGGUAUUAUCUCAGCUAUACAGGAAAUGGC